GGUAAGAGAAAAGAGGAAGGAUGAUUGAAAUAAUAAAGCAUGUCAUUUAUAAAACCACCUAAUACUGUCUUCAGUAUGAGUGGAAUUUAAGUUUUAUAAAUAUUUAUAGUAUACUAGUAGUCAGCUAUCUUUCUGUAAUACCUUCAAUAAAGAUUUUUAUGUGGUUUGCGGAAUGCAUUAUCAGUACUUUGAAAAUAGUUCCUUAUAUUUCAGUGUUCUGCUUUGAAUGUGUUUUCUGAUUUUAAGACAUAGUCAUUUUAUAGGGAAUGGAAUAACAGAAAGACUAAUUUAAAAAAUGUACUCUGUACGUGUAAAGAAAAGCCCACUAUAGAUUGGUCAGAAAUAAAUGUUACCUUCGACUUCCUCUAGACGGAAGUGAGCAACACACACUGCAUCCUUGCUUCACCAGGAAACAGCUGAAGUUCCUGGGGAAGCAAAGUAGAAUUUCAUAGGAACAAAAUGAAUGGAGAGGAGAAAAGCUAUGGUGGCUGUGAAGGCCCUGAUGCCAUGUAUGUCAGAUUGAUAUCAUCCGAUGGCCAUGAAUUUGUUGUAAAAACAGGACGUACAUUAACAUCAGGCAUGAUAAAAGCCAUGUUGAGUGGCCCAGGUCAGUUUGCUGAGAAUGAAACCAAUGAGGUCAAUUUUAGAGAGAUACCUUCACAUGUGCUAUCAAAAAUAUGCAUGUAUUUUAUGUACAAGGUUCGCUACACUAACAGCUCCACCGAGAUUCCUGAAUUCCCAGUUGCACCUGAAGUUGCAAUAGAACUGCUGUUGGCUGUGAACUUCCUAGAUUGUUAAAUAAAAUAUAAUUUUAAAAAAUGAAAGAAAUGUUACUUUCAAAAAUGGUAGAGUUGAAAAGAUUAGCAUUUUUUCCUACUGUUUUCUGUCGAUUAACUUAAAUUUCUGAGGAUAAUUGAGUUGUACACAGAAAUUAUUACCAUUAGGAAACAGUGAAUUAUGUUAAAUAAGGCAAUAAUAGGAGACUAAUAAUGUAUUAUAUUAUAAACUGUUAGAAAUGUUGAAUUGGGGUGAAAUUGGGAAAGAGUAAAUCUUUUAAUAAGUAAUUAAAGAUUACUUGAAGGGACUUAAACUGGAGAUGCAAGAAAAAUUAUUUUAAGGGAUUGGUUCAUUAUUCUGCAGUUUCCCCAUGCCAGCAACCUCCCUUGUACACUUACAAGUUUGAAGAAGUUAGUGGCUAAAUGAAUGAAUUAUCAAAUUGAGUAUCAGAAAUUUCUAAAGUUUUGUUCUAUGCUUGUCAUUUAUUGGCACUUACCCCAAACAAACAAAUGGUUUUAGUUUCUCCGGAUGGAUAGCCCCUUUUGGUGUGUCAGUUUGAAGUGGAUUCUUUGGAAAAGGAGGAGAAGUAUGGCUAAUUAAAAUAAAAUUUAUCAUGUCCUAAGCUAAGCACUGUUCUGUGUGCCUUAAAUAUUCACUCAUUUAAUUUUGCAACACCCUUUGAUAAGCUCCGUACUGAUCUUAUGCCCAUUUUCAGAGGUGUAAAUAGAGACACAAAGAGAUUAAUGACUUGCUUAAGGUCACACAGCUCUCAUAUGGUGGAGCUGGAAAUUUUAACCUUGUCGCUCUGGCUCCAGAACAUAUCUCUAAAGCAUUAUGCUUUGCUGCUCCAGGAUAGGAUCUUCAAUUCAUCCAGCCUUGUUUCUGUUCUUAAGACUAGUGGUCCAGAUCUGAAUUUUUCACCUCUAUUUAGAAAAGCUGUUGUGCAGUGUUUAGGUUGGAAAGAUUUAGUUUAGCUCCAGUCCACAGUGGCUUUUACUGUCUGAGAGUGCCAGAAGUUCUCAUAAAAUAGUUAAUCUUCUGUAAGCUCUGGCAUACUUGAACUUCUCCCCACCCCCUUCCUUUAUUUUAAAAGUAACAUUUUGGGGUUUUGGUUUUUUUUUUGGUUUUGUUUAGUGUAAUAUUCAAGUAAGUAUGAAGUUUAUGAGAUUCAAUUAUGUGCUUGCUUAAAAUUUACUCUCCAUAUUAGAGAUGACAUAUGGAAAAUAUGAGUUUAUUACAAAAUACUGUAGAAUUAAUCGCCAGUUGAAUCUACUCUCUCCCAUUAUAAAGCCACUGGAGGGUUUGACAGAAAACAAGGAAGCUCCUGUUUCAUAUUUUUUAAGAGAGCUAAUUGAUUGAGCUCUUAAUUACCUAGAAGAUAAAAGACAGUGGAUCUGGCUAUUUCUUAGUUGUUUCUUGCAAUUUCUUUUUAGUAUCUCCACAAGAGGGUAGCUGGGAAAAGAACUAAACUUAAAACUCAUCAGUCUACUUCAUAAUUUUAUAGCAUUAAUGAAACGCUGGUGGUAACUCCUUUUUAACUAUGAUGAACGUAAGGUGUGGCUAAAGUUUAUGUCAGAUUUCUCUAUUAUUACAAAUAAUUGUAAACUCGCUGGAUAUAUCAUACAUGCUCAAAUUUGUAUACUUCUACUAGUUUUGAUUACUGGAAAGACUCCAGGAAUAAACAAAUAUCCCAAGUCCCCUUUUUCCUGCCUCAGAUGGGAGUGAAGAUAACGGAGAGAUUGAAUGUAAUGCUGGACAUGGUUUUAGAUACUAUCAGUGUUGAUAUCUGAACAGACUAUUGGUUUCUUUUAAAUGUGCUUAAAACACAUUUGUUAGCUUUCUGUUGUUAGCCCUGUUUGCUUACAAUCUAUUUGAGAAAAAAGAUACUACACGUUUUAACAAAUGUAUAGAUACUUCUUUGCUAUUCAGACUUGGAGAGUGAGUUUUCAAGUAAAAAUUGUUCAAGCAGAAGACAAAAGUGCUCUCUUUGUAUUAUCCAUUGAAAUUCCCAUUGAGAAUCUUAGUAAAAUAAAAUUUUCUCCUGACUUACUGAUUCAGUCCCCAAAAGAAAUUAGAUUGUCCAUGUAGUACAUUUGAUUUAUGUAUUUUGAGUGCACUACAUUGUCCCAUGUAGUAUAUUUGAUUUAUGUAUUUUGAGUGAGUGAAUGAACAAACUAAGGUUUUGGUAACUGAAAGCUUUGAAAUUUUCUUAGCUAUGAGCAAGAUUAGAAGCUCAGCCUUAAGAAGCUGGAUUCUGAAUUUAUUUUCACAGAUUCCUUAAAGAUUGCUCACUUUCCCUGGAUAUUGCUUUCUGCUUAUUAUUCUUUAAAACUUAAUUGGAAGCAAGCAGCCAAAUCAAAUCUAACGAGGCUAAGUAAGCCUAUAUUUCAAUAGCCAGUGAGAAAAUAAGGUUAAAGAUACUGAUUCAUUUCAGUGAUUUUAAGGAAUUAAAUGAUAUUUAGACAUUCGUGUCCUGAUUUUUAAAAUGAGUGAUGUUUAAGCCAUCUGAAAUUCUGAGGCAGGCAAUCACAUCUGAUAGACACGUUUUCAGCAUAGUUGAAAGUUUAUCUCUUUGUGAAUCAAAUUGUCAUACUGAAUAUAAUGUAACUACUUUUUUAUGUCUCAGGGUCAUUAUGAAAAAUGAUUUUAAUACUGUGCUUAUUGAAAUGCCCUAAAAUUUUUUGUGUUUAGAGCAUUAAAAAUGCCUGUCAAUG